UUCCAAUGUAAUACUGUGUACAUUCUUCAUCCUUAUUAUUUACAGGGACUAACUAUAUACCCGACUUUCUAUCGCUCGGAACCGGGUCUUUUUCAUUAUGGAACAUUACAGAGUGUGGGGCCUCUCUUCCUGGCCAUCCUCAUAUACACUCAUAUCACUAAAUGGCAAGAUAAGAUUAAAGAACUGUCAUAAGUUUAUGCACAAGGAUGCAAGUAUGGAUAUAAUACCAGAGUUAUGGAAGAAAAUCCAGAAAUCUAUGGAAAUGCCUCCCCUGCUAAGACUCCAAGACCAGCAGAACUAUGAUACCUGCCCCUUCUCACGGGUUACAUAUUAUAAGAGUACUGAUAAGAUCUUGAGCAGGGCCAUAAAAGAUGGGAGCCAUA
rnacentral:lncRNA from 1 species